CGUAUGGUGCAAGCGUUAUCCGGAUUACUGGGUGUAAAGGGAGCGCAGGCGGUGCGGCAAGUCUGAUGUGAAAGCCCGGGGCUCAACCCCGGUACUGCAUUGGAAACUGUCGUACUAGAGUGUCGGAGGGGUAAGCGGAAUUCCUAGUGUAGCGGUGAAAUGCGUAGAUAUUAGGAGGAACACCAGUGGCGAAGGCGGCUUACUGGACGAUAACUGACGCUGAGGCUCGAAAGCGUGGGGAGCAA
rnacentral:rRNA from 1 species